CCUACGGGUGGCUGCAGUGGGGAAUAUUGGGCAAUGGGCGCAAGCCUGACCCAGCCACGCCGCGUGAGUGAUGAAGGCCUUCGGGUCGUAAAGCUCUGUGGGGAGAGACGAAAAAACGUUGGCUAAUAUCCAACGGACUGACGGUAUCUCCUUAGCAAGCACCGGCUAACUCUGUGCCAGCAGCCGCGGUAAUACAGAGGGUGCAAACGUUGCUCGGAAUCAUUGGGCGUAAAGCGCACGUAGGCGGUUUGUUAAGUCGGUAGUGAAAGCCCUCG
rnacentral:rRNA from 1 species